rnacentral:rRNA from 1 species
ACAUGCAAGUCGAGCGGCAGCGGGAGGUGCUUGCACCUCGCCGGCGAGCGGCGGACGGGUGAGUAAUGCAUAGGAAACUGCCCGGUAGUGGGGGAUAACCUGGGGAAACCCAGGCUAAUACCGCAUACGUCCUACGGGAGAAAGCAGGGGCUCUUCGGACCUUGCGCUAUCGGAUGUGCCUAUGUCGGAUUAGCUGGUUGGUGAGGUAACGGCUCACCAAGGCGACGAUCCGUAGCUGGUCUGAGAGGAUGAUCAGCCACACUGGGACUGAGACACGGCCCAGACUCCUACGGGAGGCAGCAGUGGGGAAUAUUGGACAAUGGGCGAAAGCCUGAUCCAGCCAUGCCGCGUGUGUGAAGAAGGCUUUCGGGUUGUAAAGCACUUUCAGUGGGGAAGAAGGCCUGGCGGUUAAUACCCGUCAGGGACGACAUCACCCACAGAAGAAGCACCGGCUAACUCCGUGCCAGCAGCCGCGGUAAUACGGAGGGUGCGAGCGUUAAUCGGAAUUACUGGGCGUAAAGCGCGCGUAGGCGGCUUGAUAAGCCGGGUGUGAAAGCCCUGGGCUCAACCUGGGAACGGCAUCCGGAACUGUCAAGCUAGAGUGCAGGAGAGGAAGGUAGAAUUCCCGGUGUAGCGGUGAAAUGCGUAGAGAUCGGGAGGAAUACCAGUGGCGAAGGCGGCCUUCUGGACUGACACUGACGCUGAGGUGCGAAAGCGUGGGUAGCAAACAGGAUUAGAUACCCUGGUAGUCCACGCCGUAAACGAUGUCGCCUAGCCGUUGGGCUCCUCGCGAGCUUAGUGGCGCAGUUAACGCGAUAAGUCG